ACAAGGCAUUGGUCCUUUCCCAUUGGGAAGUCAUGAAUAAGAGACUAUGAAGCUCGCACGUCAGAUCUUCCUCAAUUAAUCCACCAUUAGCAUGUUUGGGAUCCACUACUGGAUGGUUAACAGCAGCUUUUGUAACUGUACGCCGACCAUACCCAAUUAUGCUCUGCUAAAAAUGAACUCUUUGCAGACCAAUCCUCUCGGGCUGUCAGUGUUUUCCGUUUUCCUAUUUUAACGUUUGUGUAUAGUGGCAGGCGACAGAUGGUGUAGAUCAGAUCGAUUUGAUUGCAUUAGAUGAUUUUUUUUCCCUUCCCCACUCCUUUCUGGAAGCUCGCAUCAGCUGAAGGCUAUCGCCUGGGACUCCUCGGAAGCGUGAGCAAGCCGCCACCACGCGAAGGCACCGGGGCACAGCCAGAGCAGAGCGCUGAGGUCCCUUCCCAGGGCUUGUUAACACUGUAACCCGCGCUCGGAGGGAAGCAGCUCCGCAGCCCGGAGCACCUCACCGCGCAUCAGAUGACUCCCCGGCUUCUGCACACAGUUGGAGUUCCGCUUGAAACCUGGAUUUAGAGGGGUUCUCUCGCUGCCAUGACACUCAAUCAAAGCACCUAGAGUGCGCUAGCCAAGACCAGAGUGGGCACUGAGCAGAACAAGUACAGAGCCACACACUGGAGACCACCAGAAUUGGAACUAGAGCAGCCAUUUGGAUUUGGGCAGGAAGCAGCCGAGCACAGCUUUGGAUUCUCCUUUAGGGAAAUCGAGUUAUGGAUUUAUGGUCCCGGUCAAGCUCAGCCCAGCCCCAGCCAGGGGCGGGCUCAGCAGCAAGAGUUCUGGUGGCGGCGCAGCAGUAGCGGCGGCAGCGGUAGCAGCGGCAGCGGCAGCUUGGUCCUCUGACUCUCUUCGGUGACGGGUAUUCUUGGGUGGAUAAUACGGAUUACGUUGUUAUUGCUUAAGAAUACGCGUAGUCGAGGAGAGUACCAGCGGCAGGCGGGCAGCGGCCGCCCCUCCCAGCCCACCAGCUGGCCACUAAACGCCUGUGGUUGCCAAGAAGUACAUGUGAAGAAUUUUGGGUGUCUACUCAUUUCAGUUCAGACUUUAGAAGAAGUUACGAAAAUUCUGAUGACCUUCAAAACUCUUCAUUUGCUCUAUAGUUUAAAUAUGUUUUGUUCUAUCAUCACAGCUGUCCAUCCAACAUCAUCUCUCAGAAUUUGAGGCUGCUUACCGGCCCCUUCAGGUACAUGCUAGGGAAGCUGGAGUUUCUAUGUGUUCAACAGAGCCAGCAGAUCGAACUCAUGACCGCCUGCUUGCAAGCUGAGUACAUUGUCACUGAUCUAAAGAGGACCACUCCUCAGCAUCCUAUAUCCGUGAGUGUUGCCAUGGCACUACAUUGCACGAAAAUAGGUGCCUGAAAGUGCUUGGAUGACAAAAUGAUGGCAACUGUUACUUUGAAGGAAAAAGCAUGCAUCUUCUUCUUGAUCCUGCAAUGCUGCUGACUCAAAGAAGAGAGAAACUGGGGCAACUACCUUGGACCCCAAGGUGGAUCAGGAAGCGGAAGGGUAGCAUAAGCAAAUAGAAGAAGCCGAGGUCCCUGACACCAAGUAGCUGAUCUGUCCAGUCUAGUGAUUUUUGAAAGAGCUGAGAGACCAAUGAACUUUUCCUAUUUUUUUAAGGCCCAUUAUUUUGAGACCUUGCAUCAGCAGCAGCAAUUAUGUCAUAGCUAAUACAGACAAUAGCUCCUAUUUUAUUGUUAUCAAAGAAUACAGAAUAUAUAUUCUAUUUGUAUUUCUUCUAAUAAAAUAUUUGAAAUGUCUUGUCUAGUAAAUGUUCAAAUUCUAUAAUUAUUUCCUGUAUUAUUGAUUUUCAGAUAUACAAUUAUAUAAAUUCUGAAUAUAUUUGUAUGUUAUUAAAUCUACCUAAAUCAGAUUGUGAUUUUCCAUAUUAUGUUCUGUGAAACAUUAAUGAUACAGAAUAUUAUUAGGUUCAUUUCAAAAUAAAAAAGUUAAUGGGCCCUAUA